rnacentral:rRNA from 1 species
AGAGUUUGAUCAUGGCUCAGGAUGAACGCUGGCGGUCUGCUUAACACAUGCAAGUCGAACGGAAUCUUUCGGGAUUUAGUGGCGGACGGGUGAGUAACGCGUGAGAAUCUGCCUUCAGGUUCGGGACAACAGUUGGAAACGGCUGCUAAUACCGGAUGUGCCGAGAGGUGAAAGCUUAAGUGCCUGGAGAUGAGCUCGCGUCUGAUUAGCUAGUAGGAGUGGUAACGGCACCCCUAGGCGACGAUCAGUAGCUGGUCUGAGAGGAUGAUCAGCCACACUGGGACUGAGACACGGCCCAGACUCCUACGGGAGGCAGCAGUGGGGAAUUUUCCGCAAUGGGCGCAAGCCUGACGGAGCAAGACCGCGUGAGGGAAAAAGGUCUGUGGAUUGUAAACCUCUUUUGAUCGGGAAGAAGACAGUGACGGUACCGAUCGAAUCAGCUCGACGGCUC